rnacentral:rRNA from 2 species
CAGCCGCCGCGGUAACACCAGCCCCUCGAGUGGUGGGGAUGAUUAUUUGGCCUAAAGCGUCCGUAGUUGCCGGAAAAGUUUCCCGUUAAAUCCGACGUCUCAAGCGUUGGACCGCGGGAAAUACUAUCUGGCUAGAGAGUGGGAGAGGUUAGCGGUAUUCUGGGGGUAGGGGCGAAAUCCUUUGAUCCCCGGAGGACCACCAGUGGCGAAGGCUGCUGACUAGAACACGUCUGACGGUCGGGGACGAAAGCUGGGGUAGCGAACCGGAUUAGAUACCCGGGUAGUCCCAGCCGUAAACGAUGCAUGCUAGGUGUUGGGUUGGCCACGAGCCACCCCAGUGCCGCAGGGAAGCCGUUAAGCAUGCCGCCUGGGAAGUACGAUCGCAAGGUUGAAACUUAAAGGAAUUGGCGGGGGAGCAC